GAGUUUGAUCCUGGCUCAGGAUGAACGCUGGCGGCGUGCUUAACACAUGCAAGUCGAGCGAAGCAGUUAAGAAGAUUCCUCGGAUGAUUCUUGACUGACUGAGCGGCGGACGGGUGAGUAACGCGUGGGUGACCUGCCCCAUACCGGGGGAUAACAGCUGGAAACGGCUGCUAAUACCGCAUAAGCGCACAGAGCUGCAUGGCUCGGUGUGAAAAACUCCGGUGGUAUGAGAUGGACCCGCGUCUGAUUAGGUAGUUGGUGGGGUAACGGCCUACCAAGCCAACGAUCAGUAGCCGACCUGAGAGGGUGACCGGCCACAUUGGGACUGAGACACGGCCCAAACUCCUACGGGAGGCAGCAGUGGGGAAUAUUGCACAAUGGGGGAAACCCUGAUGCAGCGACGCCGCGUGAGCGAUGAAGUAUUUCGGUAUGUAAAGCUCUAUCAGCAGGGAAGAAAAUGACGGUACCUGACUAAGAAGCACCGGCUAAAUACGUGCCAGCCGCCGCGGUAAUAC
rnacentral:rRNA from 1 species